rnacentral:lncRNA from 1 species
CUCAUUCUCCACUACCGAGUUUCAAUACAUAUCGAGUUUUGAUAAUGAAGCAUCGCAGAUUAAUUGGAUCUCGUGUUCCAUGGCCCGCUUUGGUGGCAACCCUUGGACUUCCUGAAAUAGGUCCUGGUGCUCGCCAAUCAGUUUGGCAAGAUUGCCAGUCUUUUCUCGAUAUGCAAAGAAAAAACUCAAUAUCUUUCUACUUACC